UGAGUUUGAUCAUGGCUCANNUUGAACGCUGGCGGCAGGCCUAACACAUGCAAGUCGAGCGGUAACAGGACUAGCUUGCUAGUUGCUGACGAGCGGCGGACGGGUGCGUAACACGUAGGAAUCUGCCCGGUAGUGGGGGAUAGCCCGGAGAAAUCCGGAUUAAUACCGCAUACGCCUUACGAGGGAAAGAAGGGGCCUCUUCGGAGCCUUUCGCUAUCGGAUGAGCCUGCGUCGGAUUAGCUAGUUGGUGGGGUAAAGGCCUACCAAGGCGACGAUCCGUAGCUGGUCUGAGAGGAUGAUCAGCCACACUGGGACUGAGACACGGCCCAGACUCCUACGGGAGGCAGCAGUGGGGAAUAUUGCACAAUGGGGGAAACCCUGAUGCAGCCAUGCCGCGUGUGUGAAGAAGGCUCUAGGGUUGUAAAGCACUUUCAGCGAGGAGGAAAGGUUGCUGGUUAAUACCCAGCGGCUGUGACGUUACUCGCAGAAGAAGCACCGGCNAACUCCGUGCCAGCAGCCGCGGUAAUACGGAGGGUGCGAGCGUUAAUCGGAAUUACUGGGCGUAAAGCGUGCGUAGGCGGUCAUGUAAGUUGGAUGUGAAAGCCCCGGGCUCAAC
rnacentral:rRNA from 1 species